rnacentral:lncRNA from 1 species
CUCAUACAGGUGAGAAGCCAUAUCUCUGUGUUAUCUGCGGGAAAUCUUUCUCUCAAAACGUUCACUUAACUCUACACAAACGCACUCAUACAGGUGAGAAGCCUUAUCACUGUGACAUAUGUGGAAAAUCUUUCUCUCAAAGAAGUACCUUGUCUAAUCACAAAUAUGUUCACAGAGCAGAAAAGCUCUACCUUUGUGACACCUGUGGGAAAUCAUUCGCCAGAAGUUUUCAACUAACUAGACACAAGCGUCUUCAUACAGAGGAGUAGCCCACAAGACAAAAUGCUUAGUGGUAUUUCAUCUACCUUGGUGUUCUGGGUUCAAACUCUGCCAUGCUUGACUUCCAUCCUUUCAGGGUCUAUUACAGUAAGCACCAGUCAAGUACUGGACUUCAUGAAAUCAAACUGUUCCCCUCCCACAAAAUGUCAGGCCUUGCACAUAUAGUCGAAAGGAUAUAUUUUGGCAACUCCAUCUCUGGAAUGGGUGGCUUCACAUCACUCAGACUGAUUUAUAGAGAAGAGAAGCCAUUUCAAGGUAUUUCUGGUAAAUGACUUUCUGCUGGAAGUCACUAAACAAGACAGAAACACAUUAAAAUGAGAGAGAAGCAGAAGAUAAACAGAACACUAAGUAUCCAAAGAAUAGUCCCUUCAUCAUCAUCAUUUACCCUCCGUUUUUCAUGCUGGCAUGGGUUGGACAGCUUAACAGGAGCAGCAAGCCAGAGGACUGUACCAAGCUCCACUAUCUACACACACAGACACUUGUUUUUGUUUACAUCUCCCAAACCAACUCACGUGACUUUGCUCAGCUGGAGCUAUUGUAAAAGACACUUGGUGAUGGUGCCAAGCUUGGGACUAAAUCCAAGAACACGGUUCAGAAGCGAGCUUCUCAACCAGAUGACUAUGUCUGUGCCUGUUCCUCUACACUUACACACACACAUAUAUUUAAUCAUCAUCAUUUCAGCAACCACUUUUCCAUGCUUGCAUGGCUCAGAGGAGCAUAUGUCAGGACACAGGUCUCCAUGGCUUGAAGGACUUCCUGUUGUCCACUGCAGUUCUUUCCAAGCGAGGUAAUAAUUUUCUAUUCUGUUGAAUAACAAACUUGAGAGAACCUAAAACAAACGACACUGUAUGGAUGAGCUUUUUGUUUAUAGUGAUGGUGCAACGUGUUAAGACAUAUUAAGAAGCGUGGACAAUACUUUCACAGUGGACUGCAAGCAAACCAGCUCCAUCAGAGAAGCCAGUGUUCACAAUCAGCAAACAUACAUAAAAACAAAGGCAAUAUUAUAAAUGCAUGCACUUCUGUAUCUUAUCUUUAAUGUCAAUUUUUCCAUGCUUUUAUGGGUCAGAUAGAAUUUAUAGAGGCAGCUUUCUAUCCCUUCUGUUGCUUACUCACCUGUUUACAAGCAUUUUUUUUUUCCAUUUCUGCUUCCUCAGGUGGAGACAUUUACAAGUAAAGAAACCCCAAGAAAUU